GUAUAGCAGAUGUAUAUAAGGAAGGUUUGGGUCACUCAGCAAGCACGCGAGGACAUGACAAGAAGCAGAAUGUGUCGCCUGAUUGUUGUGUUGUCUGUGGUGAUGGUGGUGGUGGCGCUGAGUGAGGUGGUGACAGGCGCACCCUCUGAUUCUUCACAUCUGCGCGUGGCCAGAGAUGUGGAGGCAUAUGUCCGCCACGGCUCGCCGGCCAAAUAUUCCACUUCGGGUGCAGUGACAAGUCACGGAGGUUGGCGGCCACCCAUAUACAGAGGAAACCGUCACGGCAAUAGGUAUAAUCGGUACGGUGGAUAAGGUAACUACAACCCAUAUCGUACGUACGGCCGCUAAGGUACAGGUUGGCGAGGUUACGAGGUGAGAACAGCACGAAAUGUUGCUGUGCAGAAGAUUGCGCUGAGGUACGGUGAUGUGGAGAGAGGAAUGAAAAGAGGAGAAACUGAAAGAUAACGGGUUGAAAUAAGGAAUGGAAUGAGAAGAUAGGAAAUAGAGAGAAAGGCAUGGUUGACGAAUGAAGAUGAGAUAAAGAAAGAGAAUGGGUUGAAGAAUGAAAAAAAAGGAGAAAUUGAGAGAAAGAAUGCGUUGAGGAAUUAAAAAAAAAAAAAACAAGAGAAAGGAAGAAAAAAGAGACGUCCUUGGGUUGAGAUGCGCUGAUGUGAGAAAAUAAGAAUGAGAAGAUAACAAAGAAAGAGAAAAAAAGGAAAACCUAUGAAAAAAUGUAAAGAAACGGAAGGAAAUUAAAUGAAAAGUUAUGCAAAUGGAGAAAAAGGAAAUGAAAAGGAAAAAAAGGAAAACUAACGUAAGUUGAAACGUUAUUAAAGUCAGGAUUCUUUAAUUAUUUACCUUUAUUUUUUGUUCCCUUAUUUGUUUGUGCUUUAGUGUGUGUGUUUGUUGUUGUCUACCAAAAUGUUUCCUACUCUUAAUGUACCGUUAAGUUUUUUUUUUUUUUUUUGUUAGAAAGACAGGAAAGCUGCUUCAUUAGGCAGGGAGGCUUCUGUACAAAGACCAGUGUUCUUCAGACUUUAUUCUAUCAAGACCAUGUUUGAUUUUAUAUACUCCCUUCACAACCCUGUAAGUCUGUUCUAUUGUACCUUUAUACCUCUGAUAUGGAACCUGAUUCACACACACACACACACACACACACACACACACACACACACACACACACACUACUAAAUUUUAAUUAUUGUUCAUAUAUCUCUUUAUGAUGUGACGACCCACUGAACAACAGCUUGCGAACCAGCUUUGGGUCCCGACCCGUACUUUGAAGAACCCUGACAUAAACAAUAAUUAAUAUUUACAAUGGUCACCUCUUAAAAAUAUUUUUCAUUUUCUCCCGGCAAACAGAGAAAAUUUGUUUUUGAAUGGCUAACAUUUGUUAAUUCUUGUUAACUUCAUGGAGAAUUAGGCGGAGGGAUGAGGGGAAAAAGGCAAGAAGAAGAAGAAGAAGAAGAAGAAAAAGGAGAAGAAGAAAAAGAAGAAGAAGAAGAAGAAGAAGAAGAAGAAGAAGAAGAAGAAGAAGAAGAAGAAGAAGAAGAAGAAGAAGAAGAAGAAGAAGAAGAAGAAGAAGAAGAAGAAGAAGAAGAAGAAGAAGAAGAAGAAGAAGAAGAAGAAGAAGAAGAAGAAAAAAAGAAGAAGAAGAAGAAGAAGAAGAAGAAGAAGAAGAAGAAGAAGAAGAAGAAGAAGAAGAAGAAAGAAGAAAAAGAAGAAGAAAAAAAGGAAGGAAAAUAAAAAAAAAGAAAUAAAGACGAACAUCAAAAACAACAACAAACAAACAAACAAACAAAUAAAAAACAAAAAGAUUAUACAGUGCUCAGCCUCUAUCCUCCACCACGUACAUUCUUUCAACUCACACAUCACAUUAUACAUUUUCUUAAAGGUUUAAAAAAAAAGAAUAAAUAAAUAAAUAAAUAAAUAAAUAAAUAAAUACAUAAAUAAAUAAAUAAACUCCUUAACCUUUGACAUAGGGACAAAAUACGAGGACAAGGAAAAGACAGGAGGACAAGAAGACAGUAGGAAAGACAGGAAGACUAAACGGAAGACAGGGAGAUAUAGAGACGGCAGGAGAAAAACAAAGAUAGGAGAAUAAAACAGAAAAGAAAGGAACAGAAAGGAGACACAUAAAGAAAAAAGAUGAAAACAAGAAUAGAAGAACGAGUAAGAGAGGACAGAAAGUGACAAGAACAAGAAAUAAAGACAGGAGGACAGGAGACAGAAACAGGAAGGUAAAAGAUGACAGGAAAAGAAGAGAAGACGACAGAACAAAAACGAAGACAGGAAAAAGAGGAAAUAGUAAGAAACAGAAAACAAACAAACAGAAAACAAGGCAGAAAAGACAGAAAAUGGAAUGGAAGGGACAGAGAGAGACAGAGUCAGUAAGGGACGGGAGAGAGGGAGACAGCUGAGGAGGGACAUGGAGGGGCAGUAAGGGACACACGGGAGGGGGCAGGAAGGGCACUGUUGUUAAGCACGAAUAUACGCAUCAAGGGGCAGGGGAAGGUCGCGGGAAGGCAGGAACCUGAUUAGUAUGUCCUAAGAAUGCAGGUAGUGUCGUGGUAGGUGUGUCCGGCCACACAUACACACACACACACACACACACACACACACACACACACACACACACACACACACACACACACACAGGUAGAUACAGUAGGUAGUGAAAUUAGUGAAAAAGUACCCAGGAAAAUGUUGGUAAGGAAGGGAGGAAAGAAAAAAAUGGAAAUGUUAGCAAAGAAGGAGCAAAGGAGACGAAGAAAAAGAAAGAAAAGAGUAAGAAAGUGAAAACAUUACUAUGGAAGAGAGAGAGAGAGAGAGAGAGAGAGAGAGAGAGAGAGAGAGAGAGAGAGAGAGAGAGAGAGAGAGAGAGAGAGAGAGAGAGAGAAGGAAUAAAGAUAGGAAAAACAAACAGUAAAAAAGUAAACAAGAAAGUAAAAUUGUUACUAAAGAAGGAAGGAAGUAAGGCAGAAAGGAAGAGCAAGAAUAAAUAAAGUUACAACCACCUGCCCUCUUGCUUCUAAUAUCAAAUGUAAUGAAACGAGGAAAAAUUGUUUGUUUGUGUUAGUCUUGGUACCUUAAUGCUUCUUCUCUCCUCUUGUGUGUUUAUGUUGAGUUGGGUUUG